CUAUGGAGCCAUCCUUGAAAUACCACCCUGGUUCAUUUGAGGUUCUAACCUUGGCCCGUUAUCCGGGUCGGGGACAGUGCAUGGUAGGCAGUUUGACUGGGGCGGUCUCCUCCUAAAGUGUAACGGAGGAGUUCGAAGGUACGCUAGGUACGGUCGGACAUCGUGCUAAUAGUGCAAUGGCAUAAGCGUGCUUAACUGCGAGACCGACAAGUCGAGCAGGUACGAAAGUAGGACAUAGUGAUCCGGUGGUUCUGUAUGGAAGGGCCAUCGCUCAACGGAUAAAAGGUACUCUGGGGAUAACAGGCUGAUUCCUCCCAAGAGUUCAUAUCGACGGGGGAGUUUGGCACCUCGAUGUCGGCUCAUCACAUCCUGGGGCUGUAGCCGGUCCCAAGGGUAUGGCUGUUCGCCAUUUAAAGUGGUACGUGAGCUGGGUUUAAAACGUCGUGAGACAGUUUGGUCCCUAUCUGCCGUGGGCGUUGGAAAUUUGAAGGGGGCUGCUCCUAGUACGAGAGGACCGGAGUGGACAGACCUCUGGUGUACCGGUUGUCACGCCAGUGGCAUUGCCGGGUAGCUAAGUCUGGAAGAGAUAACCGCUGAAAGCAUCUAAGCGGGAAACUUGCCUUAAGAUGAGAUUUCCCAGAGCCUUGAGCUCUUUGAAGGGUCGUUCGAGACCAGGACGUUGAUAGGUCAGGUGUGGAAGUGCAGUAAUGCAUUAAGCUAACUGAUACUAAUUGCCCGUACGGCUUGUCCCUAUAACCUU
rnacentral:rRNA from 1 species